rnacentral:rRNA from 1 species
AGUGAACGCUGGCGGUAGGCCUAACACAUGCAAGUCGAACGGCAGCACAGUAAGAGCUUGCUCUUACGGGUGGCGAGUGGCGGACGGGUGAGGAAUACAUCGGAAUCUACUUUUUCGUGGGGGAUAACGUAGGGAAACUUACGCUAAUACCGCAUACGACCUACGGUUGAAAGCAUGGGAUCUUCGGACCUUGCGCGAUUGAAUGAGCCGAUGUCGGAUUAGCUAGUUGGCGGGUUAAAGGCCCACCAAGGCGACGAUCCGUAGCUGGUCUGAGAGGAUGGUCAGCCACCCUGGAACUGAGACACGGUCCAGACUCCUACGGGAGGCAGCAGUGGGGAAUAUUGGACAAUGGGCGCAAGCCUGAUCCAGCCAUCCCGCGUGGGUGAAGAAGGCCUUCGGGUUGUAAAGCCCUUUUGUUGGGAAAGAAAAGCAGCAGGUUAAUACCCCGCUGUUCUGACGGUACCCAAAGAAUAAGCACCGGCUAACUUCGUG